rnacentral:rRNA from 1 species
AUUGAACGCUGGCGGCAGGCUUAACACAUGCAAGUCGAGCGGAGAUGAGGUGCUUGCACCUUAUCUUAGCGGCGGACGGGUGAGUAAUGCUUAGGAAUCUGCCUAUUAGUGGGGGACAACAUUCCGAAAGGAAUGCUAAUACCGCAUACGUCCUACGGGAGAAAGCAGGGGAUCUUCGGACCUUGCGCUAAUAGAUGAGCCUAAGGCGGAUUAGCUAGUUGGUGGGGUAAAGGCCUACCAAGGCGACGAUGUGUAGCGGGUCUGAGAGGAUGAUCCGCCACACUGGGACUGAGACACGGCCCAGACUCCUACGGGAGGCAGCAGUGGGGAAUAUUGGACAAUGGGGGGAACCCGGAUCCAGCCAUGCCGCGUGUGUGAAGAAGGCCUUAUGGUUGUAAAGCACUUUAAGCGAGGAGGAGGCUACUGAGACUAAUACUCUUGGAUAGUGGACGUUACUCGCAGAAUAAGCACCGGCUAACUCUGUGCCAGCCGCCGCCGUAACAC